rnacentral:rRNA from 1 species
CAGUCGCCGCGGUAAUACGUAGGUGGCAAGCGUUGUCCGGAAUUAUUGGGCGUAAAGGGCUCGCAGGCGGUUUCUUAAGUCUGAUGUGAAAGCCCCCGGCUCAACCGGGGAGGGCCAUUGGAAACUGGGAAACUUGAGUGCAGAAGAGGAGAGUGGAAUUCCACGUGUAGCGGUGAAAUGCGUAGAGAUCGGAAAGAACACCAACGGCGAAAGCACUCUGCUGGGCCGACACUGACACUGAGAGACGAAAGCUAGGGGAGCAAAUGGGAUUAGAUACCCCGGUAGUCCCUGUCUCUUAUAC